ensembl:lncRNA
CCACUGUCUUUGAUGGCAUGUAGCACUACCCCCUAAAUUAACAUUUUGCCUACAUAACAGGAAGAAAGCCCCCAAGUGUUAGCACAAGCACAGUGCUUUGAUAGUAAAGAGAUGUUCCUGCAUCCCCUUUACAUUCAAAGAUGAACAACAGUAAAGUUUGGAAUUUAGAUCUGAUCAGAGGACAGACAUAACAAAAAUAAUGAACUAAAAAUGUUUUUGAAGAUGAGUAUCACAGUUUUCCAUGUAUUUACUAAUCAAAACCAUGGCAAAAUAUCCUCAUAUUUUUGGCAACAAACCCUUUGAACAGUUCCUUGCAUCUGGAUUUUACUGAUCACUUUUCUAAUAAGUAAAUUACAUGCUAAUUUUGUGCCUGAAUGAACUCUGAGUUAACAUAGAUAUUGAAUACAUUUUCUUUUAUAUAUAUUUUAUUGUACUUUGCCAGUGUUUAGAGAAGCCAGCAAUACAUAGCAACACACAUAUCUCCUUUAAUUUUUUAGAUUAAAACCAUUCCCCUUUGUUCUAUCAAUAUCAGAUCACAUAAAAAGACAGUCUCCCUCCUGCUUACAAACUCCCUUCAAGUACUGGAAGGUCACAAUGAAGUCUCCCCAUAGCCUUCUGCUCUCUAAGUCAAGAAGUCCAUCUCCCUCUGCCUUUCUUCAGAGGAGAGUUGUCUCAUGGCCUCCUCUGGACCCUCUCCAAAAGCUCAACAUCUUUCCUGUGCUGAGGGCCCCGGACUUGGACACGGUGCUCCAGAUGGGGCAUGAUGAGGGCAGAGCAGAGGAGACAAUCACCUACCUCUCCCUGCUGGUCACAGUUCUUUUGAUGCAGCCCAGGAAACUGUUGGCCUUCAGGCCUGUGAGAACACACUGUUGGUUCAUGUUCAGCUUUUCAUCCAUCAGAACUCUCAAGUCCUUCUCCAUAGGGCUGCUCUCAAUGAGUUCUUCCUGACAUCAGUCCUCUUAUAAUUUGUGUUUUGUUUCUCAUGACUUCCACAUUCCACUCCAUAUCCUGGGAAACAGCUUGGCCAGGAUCUGUGGUUUUUCUUAUUACUGAGUCUGGGAACUAAUAUAUGGAGGCAAAGCAGGAAAAGUAACAUGACAAGUCAGUAAUAACAGUAACUCGGCUAUUGGUGAAGCAUCACAAACUGUUUCUUUAAAUCUGAAACAAGCUAACCCAAGGCACCUUUCUCAGACUUAUGACUACUUAAAUUACAAUCAACUCUAUGUUAUUUUUUUUUUUCUGUCAACAUAAACACAUACUUGAAUCUCAGACAAAUUGUACUGUGGAUGGAAAUCAUGUUUUGGGAAAGCAUUUUUUAAUCAGUCUGCUAAAAAUGAAUACUGAACAGCUUCAGAAACCCACAUAUCACACCGUCUUUCUUGUCUCUCUCCUACGUUGCCUCCUCGUCUGGUAAAACAAAGAGCACAGUGAAGAUGGGAACCAGAACAAACUGUAUCCAUUAACCCAGUAUUUUUUCCUAACAGGAGAAAUAACUUUUGAGAGCAGCCCAAACUUGCCUUCCAAUGGUUAAAUAGCCACUAAUAUGUAAUACCUAAAGUUAGCUUAUUUGCAAGCUACAAGCUCAUGUUUAAAAUGAUCUCCCAGAAACAGGUGCCUGUGAUAAGCAGUUUAUAAAAUACAUUUCUUCUGAGGUGCAAAUGCAUAGCACUGAUUGUGAAAUUUGUAGCAGUUCAAACAUUUAUUUAAAAUCUUUUACUUCCUUUCACUACAAAAACAUCCCCCAAUUUCUUGCUGCAUCGUUUCUUAAAACAUGCCACACAGAGCUCUGCUCGGGUUAGCAUGUAGAAACGAAGUAUAGCACUAUUUUCCACGUUUAAUACCAAGAACACACUCAAAUCAAAAUACUACACUGACCAAGCCACAGACAGACUAUCCACAACUUUGUGCCACUGUUCCAAGUGGGCUUCUUGGAGGAGGGUCGUCAUCCAUGCAUGAGCUCCACUCACAGUAGGUCAUCGUAAGGCUCAAAGCAUUUUGUUGCCAAAUAUUAAGACUGAGAAGUAACCUUUCAAUUGUAGAAUUCAGGGAUGUGACUUCCUUCCCAUGAACUCAGUUUUAGGACUUGUUAGACCUGCAGAUAAUUCUGUUACAUCCAUUUUGGGUUUCAUUUACUCUUUUGUAUAAUUCACAAACAACAACAACAAAAAAGACUCUGUAAAAUAACUGAAAUAAAGUGGAAGGAAAGCAAUAAAGGAAACAGCAAUGCAAGCCUGCUCUUGAACAAGUAGUUACAACCCCAAGCUUCAUCGUAGCAUUUAGUUUUGCUUGCUUUGACAGCGAGGACAUGAGGAGCUCCCAAGCAGCCUUGACACAGCUAUUGCUUUGCAGUUGCUGCUUAACUGUGAUGUGUAAGCUAGCUGAUGAAACAUGAGUUAAAGCAGCUGGAAUGAGAAGCGUGGUGCUGAUCAUGGUCUGUUUUAACCAACAUCUCUUCCCUGAAAUCUAACUUAUUAGGCUCUCUCAGAGUAAUGGUUUCUACAGCACUUGGAAGUUAGCACUCUUUCCAGGUCCACCUGAGCCCAGCCAGAUGUUUCAGUACAGGGUGUCCUGCCUUUAGCACAGCCUCUGUUCCUCUCUUGAAAGCCCUAUAAGGUCUGUCAUUAGGGCCGGUUCCUGAGCCCAGCCUUCCUCCUCAGCCACCAUCCUGAAGACUCUUCACAGAAGAACCAUCCCAGAAAAAAACCUGUCCUGAGGAGAGAACUGGUACAUAGGAGGCCUCAUACAACACAGGAGCUCCUGUGGCUGCAGAGAUAUUUCAGCCCUUUGCAGCUUGCUCUGUUGAGCUCUCCCAGCAUCUUGCUCACAGAGGGCAUUCUGUUUAUGCACUGAAGAGAUACACUGGUUUAGUGAGUUUGCUUGUGGCUUUAUUUAGGAAGCUACACCCCCUUAAACUAACAAACCCCUUAAACUUCCCUUAACCCAUAAAUCUGAAGCUCCCUCCAAGCAAUAAAAGUCUUAAACUUCCCUAACUCCAUAAAUAUGACAGGGCCCUGCUUUGCUCCGGUAAAGGAAAGAGAAACGAAAUAUAUUUUUUUCUUUUUUUCCCCUUAUUGCUGAGUACUAAAGUCAAACUAUGAGAUGUUACUGCAAUUCAGAGACAAGAUUUAGAUAUAGAGGCUAAACUUCUUGUGCAUACACCAAGCAACUACUAAGUUCACACCAAAAUCUUCAGGCUUUCAUUUCUCAUUUUCAAAAGAUUUUAAAUAAUUGUAUGCACUUUUUCCUGAGGACUUUCUUUGCAACACUGAUGAACACCUCAAAGAAUGGCACUUAUGAGAUCUUUAAAAGCUUAGCAGGUGCAAGGCCUGGAAAACUUUGGCUUCUUUCUGCAGAGUGUUCUCAUUAAAUUAACAACCAUAAUUGCACUGCAAAUAAUGCUUGUGUCAAUUACAUCUUAAAUAUUUGUUUCCAUAAUAUCAGACCAAAGGAGAAAUAAUUCUAUUCUCAUUAUGAUCAGAGAUACCUAAGCCAGUUGAAUGCCUACAUUAGCUUUCACAAAAGUCAGCUUCCUUAAUAAACACAGAUUUAGCAAUGAACUGUGAACUUAUCUAACAGCUUCCUCUUUAUGCCAUUCACAACUUUAAUCUUAUUCUUCUUCUUUUCCUUCAGAAAACCUUGACCUUUCUAGGCAGCCAGAGGGUGGAUUUCAGAGGCAUUCAAGUUGCCGUGCUGAGAUCUUUCUCUUUUGAAGCUGAUGGGAGUUUUGUCACGGACUUCAAUCAGGAAGAGAUUUCACUCUCAGCAGGAGAGCUGCGAUUCCAUCACUGCUCCUAUUCAUAACCAAUGUCUCUCAAGAUCGGGAGGGGACCAUCACUUCCUCUCAAACUGCUGAGAUAAUGACCAGCCUAAACUGUGAAUGCUACCCACAAGAGUGCUAAAAGACAGAGAGAUGACAAAUAUUUUUUUUUGUCAUUGCCAGCAGUAUUUGUAUAGACAACAUUCAUAAUACUGCAGCAUAACUGGAAUGCAUUUAUUCCCUUUUGGGAAUAUCAGUUUUUCCACAGAAAUGUAGGAAGGACAACUAAACUAGAUGUGUGAAGCUUGUUUGGCUGCCCUGGUCUUAAGCAUGGGGCUGAUUGGAUUACAGACUCUUUUCUAUUAUUAUAUGUGUGUGUAUAUAUAUAUUUCUUGAAAUGUAGAGUCAGCUACACUCAAAAUGAAUUAUUUUAUGUCAUUUUCAGAAAUUUUACCUGACAAAAAUAUUCCGUCUAUGCAGCUCUAGUUCUGAAUAUCUACUGUUAAUAAACACGAGCUUUCAGUACAACUUUGAGAUUAAUGUACACCAAAAGAAAUAGUAAAUGUGAACUGUAUUUAUUAUGCCUUAUUCUUCAAGAAGAAUCUCAUGCAAGUACUUGCUUUCAUAGCUUAAUCCUAGUAACUCCUACAAACCACCAGGGAGGUGACUCGCCACCUGCACUCCCCUUCACUGCUUAUUACAAACAUAUGGCUAUAAAUACCUCUCUAUGAGAGCUGCUGUAUGCUCAGAGGUUUUUUAAGGCAGCUCCCAAACCCUAGGCCUUCCCAUUGCUCUCCAUCCUUAGGCAUUUUGUGGUCUUCCUCAGCACAGAGAGCUUUUUGUGCCAGCUUACGGAGCAUCCGAAGGAAAGAAGGGGCAGGUCAUGGUAUUGCUGUUGCACUGCCACUCAGAGAUGAAUACAUGAGGUGAGGAGAGCCUCAGCCAAUGAUCAGAGCUCCCUGACAAUUUAUCCAUCAUAAACGUCAAAGUCUCAGCAAAUUUUGUUUGGAAUGAGUGGAGAAAGACAGAUAGACCAGUUGCAAACUCAAAUAGUAUUUUCCAUAACACCUAUACAUGAGUACAUAUACACAUCUAGACUUCAGACAUUCUCUUCGACCUGCUAUCCCAGCUAUUUUUACAGGGAUCUCCUGACCUUUUCCAAGUCUCUGGGCCUGGGAAUUUGAACAUGUGAAUGACAUUUUGAAAACUGUCCCUGAAUGCUCCAUACCACCUUUCACCAGCAUCAUAUUUGCACAUACACAGUAGCAUUCAGUCAUCUAUACUCUCCCUGCUCUUCCAAGGUGCAAAUACUGCUCUCAUCCUCCCAGGUAGAAGCAAGCAAAGCCUAUGCUGUAGUCAGCAGACACAGAGCAAAGGUUACACCUCCAGAUACCAGUGAUGUUGUGUUUUAUAUAGGACAUAAGACUGCCACAGACCAAAUUCUGUUUAACUGUAUACACACACAGCUCCUUCUGAAGUUAGUGGGAUCCAAAAGAAUGCUCCCAACAGUAUAAUCUCAUUGUAAGUUGUAUCCAAACACAUGGACACAUGUCCAAAAACAAACUCUAUAAAAUCUCGUCUGCCAGGGCUCUGUAUUUCAUGACUUGGCAGCUCUGUAAGUUACCGUGAAUGCCACUGCUUGCUCAGAAACACUGAAUCUGAAUUUUCACUGACGCAGAACAUUUAAAAUGUAUCAGAAGAAGUUAGAAGUGAUUACUGAGAACCAGUUGAGCUGCGCGUGGCCUGGGACCCAUGCUGACAAGAGGUUAUUCACUCCAUCACACAUCCAGAUGCACCUUAAGUGACAUUUAUGGUUAAGUCUCAGCCCACUGUUUGCUAUCAGGCAGAGGGUUAGGAUGGACUGAGACAGCUCCUUGACGUAUUCCCUUCACAGAAGGUCAGAGUGCUGCUGGCACAGCUCAGCAACCAGUGGCAAGAAAGAGCAAGUGUCCUGGCAUAACACAAACAGCACUGCAUUGGUGGGAGGGAAGGGGGAGCUGUGCACAACUUCAGAGUUCCCACGAUCUUCCCAACAAACUUGCUCAUGACAACUGCUUGGGCAGAAAGGCUUUUAACCAGGACAGGCUUCAUACAGUUACUGUAUUGCUAAUUUGUAGCACACGUGCCACUGAGUCAGCACAGUGAAGUAGCUGCCAAUGAUCAUUGUCAAAGUAAAUGGCGUAGAAGAUGAACUCAGACAUGAGAGAAGAAGGAUAGAGAGGAGAGGAGGAUUGCCACCAAGAGCAUGAAUGUUUCUACCCCUUCGUUGGCAGAAGCAAGUUAAGUUAUUCUUAAAAUGCAUUCAGCUUGUCUGUGCAGAGAUGCUGUAUGGAAGAGUUGCCUGAACAGUUGAUCAAACAAAGACUUUGGAAUUAGCUUGAAACUUUGUUUUCUAUUCCUCAUCCCCCAAAAAAGAAAAAGGAGGAAAAGAAAGAAAAGGGAAGAAGGAAAAGAACUUCAGACUUCCAAAAUAACACGAAACUCAGAAUUAAAAGAAAAACGCCUCUCUUUCUUCACUCUUCACACAGGGGUUCGGGGAAACGAACGCCAUGGAGAAGAGCACACCGACACGAUCCCGGUAUCCCACCGCCUGGCCGCCCCGGG